UCGAGAAUUUUUGACAAUGGGGGAAACCCUGAUCGAGCGACGCCGCGUGGAGGAUGAAGGUCUUCGGGUUGUAAACUCCUGUCAUUUGAGAACAAGGCGCACGUAUUAACUGUACGUGCGUUGAUAGUAUCAGAAGAGGAAGGGACGGCUAACUCUGUGCCAGCAGCCGCGGUAAUACAGAGGUCCCAAGCGUUGUUCGGAUUCAUUGGGCGUAAAGGGUGCGUAGGUGGCGCGGUAAGUCGGGUGUGAAAUUUCGGAGCUUAACUCCGAAACUGCAUUCGAUACUGCCGUGCUCGAGGACUGGAGAGGAGACUGGAAUUUACGGUGUAGCAGUGAAAUGCGUAGAGAUCGUAAGGAAGACCAGUGGCGAAGGCGGGUCUCUGGACAGUUCCUGACACUGAGGCACGAAGGCCAGGGGAGCAAACGG
rnacentral:rRNA from 1 species